GUAAAGAGGAAACAAACAUGGAAGCAAUAAACAAGUUCAUAGCAUAAUCCAUGCUAUGUCAAUUAAGCUUUUGAAUCCACCAAGAAAUGAAACCAUCCUCCAAAUAGUGAGCUUGGAUCUCAGCUGCAAUGCCCUUUCAGGUUUGAACUGGUACAUUUGUUUGUUUUCUGAUAUUAUUAACGAUGUGUUUGAUUGUUAUCAGUCCUAGAGUCAAGACAAAACAAAGGACUCUGAAUAUGACAGAAGUAAGGGGUGGCAAUGACAGUAUAAGAGCUCUCUUAAAGAGUGAAACAGUCCAUUUUCCUUUUGGUUAGUAUGUCUUUCACCUUGUACAUCCAACCCAGAGUGGCUGAAGCAGGGCUGAUGUUUCCUCAAGCUUUGGGCACAUUCAGGUUAGUCAGCUUCCAGAGUGACUUGAGCAGGGUUGGUGUCCUUCGGAUCUUUGAGUUUCUCUGGUGUUUCCUUCUUCCUGAUGCUCAGCUUAAGGGGUACAAAUUAAGGAGGGA
rnacentral:lncRNA from 1 species